CCUACGGGCGGCUGCAGUGGGGAAUAUUGGACAAUGGGCGAAAGCCUGAUCCAGCCAUGCCGCGUGUGUGAAGAAGGCCUUCGGGUUGUAAAGCACUUUCAGUGGGGAAGAAAGCCUUGGGGCUAAUACCCUCGAGGAAGGACAUCACCCACAGAAGAAGCACCGGCUAACUCCGGCCAGCAGCCGCGGUAAUACGGAGGGUGCGAGCGUUAAUCGGAAUUACUGGGCGUAAAGCGCGCGUAGGCGGUCUGAUAAGCCGGUUGUGAAAGCCCCGGGCUCAACCUGGGAAAGGCAUCCGGAACUGGCAGGCUAGAGUGCAGGAGAGGAAGGUAGAAUUCCCGGUGUAGCGGAGAAAUGCGUAGAGAUCGGGAGGAAUACCAGUGGCGAAGGCGGCCUUCUGGACUGACACUGACGCUGAGGUGCGAAAGCGUGGGUAGCAAACAGGAUUAGAUACCCCAGUAGUC
rnacentral:rRNA from 1 species